GAUUAACGCUGGCGGCGUGCAUAACACAUGCAAGUCGAACGAUGAAACUUAGUCGACUUCUUCGGAAAGACACUAAGCGGAUUAGUGGCGAACGGGUGAGUAACGCGUGAGUAACCUGCCUUACACAAGGGGAUAGCCUUUGGAAACGAAGAAUAAUACCCUAUAAAACUAUAAAAGCACAUGCUAUAAUGGUCAAAGUGAUAGCGGUGUAAGAUGGACUUGCGUCUGAUUAGCUAGUUGGUGAGAUAAAAGCUCACCAAGGCAACGAUCAGUAGCCGGCUUGAGAGAGUGUACGGCCACAUUGGGACUGAGACACGGCCCAGACUCCUACGGGAGGCAGCAGUGGGGAAUUUGGCACAAUGGGGGAAACCCUGAUGCAGCGACGCCGCGUGAUUUAGAAGGCCUUCGGGUUGUAAAAAUCUUUUGUAUAGGAAGAAAAUGACAGUACUAUACGAAUAAGGUCCGGCUAAUUACGUG
rnacentral:rRNA from 1 species